rnacentral:lncRNA from 1 species
CAAGAAUUACUAUAAAUAGCACAACUCCUAUAUCCUCUUAUCAUGCAAAAACACAAAAACUUAAAAACAUACAAAAUGAAGACUCCUACCACAUUGCUUUCAUUUGCUUUUGUUGUUCUAUUUUUAUUUUCAUUUUCAUGGGGAGCUUUAGCCCAGAAUCAUGAAGAUUUCCUCCAAUGCCUUUCCCUUCAUUCCCAAAACUCAACCUCAAUCACAAAAGUGAUUUACACUCCAAAUAACUCUCCCAUUUGUCUGUUUGAAAAUUCUCCAUUAAAAAAACUUGAGGUUCACAUCACCCUCCACACCAAAACCCCAGUCAUUGUAACCCCAUUGGAUGAAUCCCAAAUCAAUCCACCAUCUUAUUGCUGCCAAACCCAUGGAAUGGAAAUUGGACUCGAAGUGGUGGGCAUGACUUCGAGGGGUCUCUCUUUACAUUCCGAGGUCUCUUUGUUCAUCCUCGACCUCAUAAACCUUCAUUCCAUCGUUGUUGAUAGCGAGAAUGGCAUGCAUGGGUCCAAUCCGGUGCCACUAUUGGGACAGUUUAGUUGUAGAGUUGUGUAUUACAGAAUCGCCGAGGAGCAGGAGAGAAAGGGGAGGGAAAAGUAGGAAAUUAUGGAUUUCCGGCCGUGGUGGUUGCCCUACUGUGGGGGUUUUGGGGUGUGGAGGACACUUAGAGGGAGGAAGGCUAUGGCAUGAUGUGAGGAAAAUAUGGCCCGCAGCCGAUAAUGUCGUCGUAUGUGAACGAAAUACUUAUCGAUGUAAUGGCAACAUUCUUGAUAGAAAGGUCAUGGGGGAAGACCUUUUUUUUUUUGGGCCAAUUAGAGGAGGUGGAGGGGCUAGUCUAGUUUGGGGGUCAUUGUAGCAGGAAAAUAAAUUGGUGUUGUCCAUCAAAGGUGACUGUUUUCACAAUUAAUAGGAAACCUUGGGCAAAAAUGCUGCAACAAACCUCAUCCAUAAGUGGGCAAUCCAUGCCCACAAGUUCCCUCAAGGAAUGCUCGUUUGAAAGAAAAGUAGAAAAAGAGCGGGUGGAUAUAGACAAUGAUAUAAUGAGAGGAGAGGAGAGGCACAAUGCAAGGCCUUUUUCACCUCUUGUUACCUUGGUUGGGAUGAUCAGUCAUCCCGUUGAUGCAAGGAAAGCUUCCCGAGCUAGGCUCCUUUGACGAGAGAAGGAGGGAGAAUGAUUUGCACACCGAGAUGAGCUUUGGAUCGAAAUCCAUCUCGACUUCGCGGGAUAUUUCCUAGUGGAUCAUCACUCGAUGUUUGCUAAACAGGACUCAGUUUAAGUCACGAUACUUUAAGGCAAAAAUCGACAGUGAAGAACCGAAAAUAUGAAAGGGGUGAGAGGGAAAGGAAGGGCGGGAGGGGGGAGGAAAAGAAGAGGACGGGGGAGUGAGUUGGAGGGAGAUGGCAUAAUUGCAUUGAUCCCAUAGGAGGGAAAGGGGGAAAAUGAACGAAGAUUUCGGAAUAUCGGAGUCCUUUUCAUCAUAGAGAUGGAAUCUCUACAAAAUAUUUGCAUAUGGUUUGUAUUGUAUUGGGACGAGGAGGAAGGGAGGAAGGGCAGACCGGCAGAGGAAUCAGGAGCACAUUAAGGUUGGAUACGGAGGAACUUUAUAGUGUACAUGGCGAUCCUUAUGAUUUCCAAAAUUCCCAAGAGCUGCUUUUUAUCAACUAUAGAGAUCGUGACGUAGGGGUGAACAACAGAAAUGGAAACACAAAGGCUAUGCACAAGCCCAGCAGUUGGGGGAUGAAAUACUUCAAGAACAUUUCAAUCGGUUGGUGCAUGUGGAAGACAAGGUUAUCCUUCAAAUUUCUUCAAGAAUGAACAAAGCAUUACCAACUUUGCCUUCAUGGUGGAAGAAGAGAAGAGGGGUAAACUAGGAAAGUAUGGUUUUGGAAAGAAUUAAUUAUGGUUCCUUAAUUAUGAUUACGUAAAGAAGAUUAAUCCAAGAUAUUGAACUGGUGCAUGUAAUAAAGUUUGAUUGCUUGAUUUGUAUUUGUAUAAUGAAAAGUGUUAUAAUUUUUUGCUUGUUUAAUAAAGUAACAUUGUAAUGUUUUAUUUUCUUUCUCCCAGAUAUGCGUGCAUACAUACGUAUAUUUUUAAGCAAGAUGAAUUUUUUCAAAAUUAAAUGCGAAAACAUCUCUAACUUAUUAUUCUUGUCCAUUCUAAUACUAAAGUAUCCUCGGUCACUCAGUCCUUGAACUAUAUCCCAAUUUGGCAAUCAAUUAGUUCUCUAAGUAAUUAAGAUAAAAUAUUCUUUAAAAAAUUUCAAAGAACUUAUUUAAGUUUCUAAACUUAAGAGUUUAUAAUUCUUCGCGUUUUUUUUUUUAAUAUCAAAGCCCUGGUCUUCGACCUCCAAAAUCAGAUAAUAAAAAAUAAAAAGACUAAGAAUUUCAUUGAGUUUGAGUUGGAUCCACGACUCAUGUAGACUAAAUUCGAAGUUUUAGACUUAAUAUAACUAGUGUUAGAACAUUAUUUUGAAUAUUCAAAUUAUUAUGGUUA